AAAGAAAGAAAGAAAGAAAGAAAGAAACCUUUAAUUUCUUUUUUUUUCUUUUUUUCUUUUUUACUACAAAAAACCUACAGAAAUACAAUAGUACGGAGCCCCUCUGGUCCCACUUUGUCAAAAAAAAAAAAAAACUUAUCUUAAGAAUUAUAAAGGACUAUGGAUAUGCAGCCUACAAGAUUUACAUUACUGUAUUAACAGAAUUGAAUUGAUUGUGAUGAACAGUACUAGUAAAUAAAUAGAAGCAGAACUGCAGCAAACUAUAUUACACUGAAUAUUAAAACAGAGAAUAUUGCACAGAAUGUGAAGUAUUACAUUGCACUACAGUACAGGGUCCAGUUUAAUAACAAAGGGUCCAUGUGUCAGACACUUCACUAUCUUGAGGCCACGAGUUACUUAUCUUGAGGCCACGAGUUAGUAUCUUGAGGCCACGAAUUAGUUAUCUUGAGGCCACGAGUUAGUAUCUUGAGGCCACGAGUUAGUAUCUUGAGGCCACGAGUUAGUAUCUUGAGGCCACGAGUUACUUAUCUUGAGGCCACGAGUUAGUAUCUUGAGGCCACGAGUUAGUAUCUUGAGGCCACAAGAUAAGUUUUUUUUUUUUUUUUUGACAAAGUGGGACCAGAGGGGCUCCGUACAAUAGGGACAUUUAUCUGCUCAUCCCUAGUGAGCAGGUUGUUGCUAGUUACUAGUUUCACUUCUAAUGUGUGUCAUUCUCAUGAGUUUAUGUUGGCCAUGGAUACAAAAUGUUAACGUCUAAUUUAACUAACUCUAUGAUUGUUGCUUGCCUAGGUAUGCCAUAUAGAACUAUAACUUAAAAGACAUCCCGGAAUGAAAAUAUACUGUAUCUUCCUUAAUGUGUUUGUUCAACUGACCGCAAACACAGCUUGCAAAUAUUUUGAAGACCAUUAACCCACAGGUUUGUUUGCG
ensembl:lncRNA